UACGUAGGGGGCAAGCGUUGUCCGGAAUUAUUGGGCGUAAAGAGCGUGUAGGCGGCCAGAUAAGUCCGCUGUGAAAACUCGAGGCUCAACCUCGAGACGCCGAUGGAAACCAUCUGGCUAGAGUCCGGAAGAGGAGAGUGGAAUUCCCGGUGUAGCGGUGAAAUGCGCAGAUAUCGGGAAGAACACCCGUGGCUAAGGCGGCUCUCUAGUACGGUACUGACGCUGAGACGCGAAAGCGUGGGGAGCGAACAGG
rnacentral:rRNA from 1 species